AUUUAAAUAGCUUAAUUUUAAAGCAUAACAUUGAAGCUGUUAAAAUGAUUGUUAAAUCUUUAAAUA
rnacentral:tRNA from 1 species